rnacentral:SRP_RNA from 1 species
GUCGGGAGUUAGUGGCGUGCUCCUGUAAUCCAGCUCUUUGGAGGCCGGGUGCAGCAGAUGACUCUGAUCGUGUGAUUCGGAUCCUACUUGUUGCGCAUUUUUAAAAAACGGUCGGCGGGAGCACUUCGGGGUCCCGACCGAGUGUUUUCGUCGGCCAACAGGGUAAUUAGGGCCUGUCCCGAUGCGCGGCGGUUGAGAGUCGAUUUCCCCGAUUGCAGACGAAGAGUCAGACCUGUACCUAA